GGGAACUUAACUCAGAUGGUCAGAGUACUUGACUGAUAUUCAAGAAGUCCCAGGUUCGAGUCCUGGAGUUCCUAC
rnacentral:tRNA from 1 species